UCAAGUGAAUAAGUGCAUACGACGGAUGCCUUGGCAGUAGAAGGCGAUGAAGGACGUGAUAAUCUGCGAUAAGCUUCGGUUAGCUGAUAAUAAGCUCUAACCCGGAGAUCUCCGAAUGGGAAAACCCAGUGAUCAUAAGAUCAUUAUCCUUAACUGAAUACAUAGGUUAAGGAGGCAAACCUAGGGAACUGAAACAUCUAAGUACCUAGAGGAAAAGAAAUCAACCGAGAUUCCCUUAGUAGCGGCGAGCGAACGGGGACCAGCCCUUAAGCAAUUUUUUGAUUAGUAGAAUGUUCUGGAAAGUUCAACGACACAGGGUGAUAGUCCCGUAUACGAAAAUCUUUUAAUUGUGAAAUCGAGUAAGGCGGCGCACGUGAAACGCUGUUUGAAUAUGGGGGGACCACCCUCCAAGGCUAAAUACUCUCUACUGACCGAUAGUGAACAAGUACCGUGAGGGAAAGGCGAAAAGAACCCCGGGAGGGGAGUGAAAUAGAACCUGAAAUCGUAUGCAUACAAGCAGUGGGAGCAGACUUGUUCUGUGACUGCGUACCUUUUGUAUAAUGGGUCAGCGACUUACUUCUCAGUAGCAAGGUUAACCAUUAGGGGAGCCGUAGGGAAACCGAGUCUUAAAUGGGCGUUUAGUUGCUGGGAGUAGACCCGAAACCGGGUGAUCUAUCCAUGGUCAGUGUGAAGGUUAGGUAAAACUAACUGGAGGCGCGAACCCACUUAUGUUGAAAAAUGAGGGGAUGAACUGUGGAUAGGGGUGAAAGGCCAAACAAACCCGGAGAUAGCUGGUUCUCUCCGAAAUCUAUUUAGGUAGAGCGUCAUGUAUUACUUCUGGGGGUAGAGCACUGUUAUGGCUAGCGGGUCGUCAAGACUUAGUAAACCAUUGCAAACUCCGAAUACCAGAAAGUAUGAGCAUGGCAGACACACUGCGGGUGCUAACGUCCGUAGUGGAAAGGGAAACAACCCAGACCGUCAGCUAAGGUCCCAAAAUUAUAGUUAAGUGGGAAACGAUGUGAAAAGGCAUAGACAGCCAGGAGGUUGGCUUAGAAGCAGCCAUUCCUUUAAAGAGUGCGUAAUAGCUCACUGGUCGAGUCGGUUUGCGCGGAAGAUUUAACGGGGCUAAACUAUAUACCGAAGCUGCGGAUCGCAAUUUAUUGCGAUGGUAGGAGAGCGUUCUGUAAGCCGUUGAAGGUGAACUGUGAGGUUUGCUGGAGGUAUCAGAAGUGCGAAUGCUGACAUGAGUAACGAUAAAGGGGGUGAAAAACCCCCUCGCCAGAAGUCCAAGGUUUCCUACGCAACGUUAAUCGGCGUAGGGUUAGUCGGCCCCUAAGGCGAGGCAGAAAUGCGUAGUCGAUGGGAAACGGGUUAAUAUUCCCGUACUUCAUAUAACUGCGAUGGGAAGACGGAGAAGGUUAGCUCAGCAAGGCGAUGGUUGUCCUUGUUCAAGCGUGUAGAAAUGGUUCUUAGGAAAAUCCGGGAACCUCUAUUUCAAGGCGUGAUAACGAUCCCUCUUUUGGGAGAAGUGAGUGAGACCAUGCUUCCAGGAAAAUCCUCUAAGCUUCAGGUUAUAUGAAACCGUACCCCAAACCGACACAGGUGGACGAGAUGAGAAUUCUAAGGCGCUUGAGAGAACUCGGGUGAAGGAACUAGGCAAAAUGACACCGUAACUUCGGGAGAAGGUGUACUCUUGUUAUGUGAUAUCACUUGCUGAUAAAGCAGAAAAGAGUUGAAAAUACUAGGUGGCUGCGACUGUUUAUUAAAAACACAGCACUCUGCAAACACGUAAGUGGACGUAUAGGGUGUGACUCCUGCCCGGUGCUUGAAGGUUAAUUGAUGAGGUUAGCGCUUGCGCGAAGCUUUUGAUCGAAGCCCAAGUAAACGGCGGCCGUAACUAUAACGGUCCUAAGGUAGCGAAAUUCCUUGUCGGG
rnacentral:rRNA from 1 species